rnacentral:rRNA from 1 species
UAGAGUUUGAUUCUGGCUCAGAUUGAACGCUGGCGGCAUGCCUUACACAUGCAAGUCGAACGGCAGCGCGGGGCAACCUGGCGGCGAGUGGCGAACGGGUGAGUAAUAUAUCGGAACGUGCCCUGGAGUGGGGGAUAACGCAGCGAAAGCUGUGCUAAUACCGCAUACGAUCUAUGGAUGAAAGCGGGGGAUCGCAAGACCUCGCGCGAUUGGAGCGGCCGAUAUCAGAUUAGCUAGUUGGUGGGGUAAAGGCCCACCAAGGCGACGAUCUGUAGCUGGUUGAGAGGACGACCAGCCACACGGAACUGAGACACGGUCCAGACUCCUACGGGAGGCAGCAGUGGGGAAUUUUGGACAAUGGGCGCAAGCCUGAUCCAGCAAUGCCGCGUGCAGGAUGAAGGCCUUCGGGUUGUAAACUGCUUUUGUACGGAACGAAACGGCUCUUUCUAAUAAAGAGGGCUAAUGACGGUACCGUAAGAAUAAGCACCGGCUAACUACGUGCCAGCAGCCGCGGUAAUAC